UUGGUAGAGCGCCGGACUGUUAAUCCGUAGGUCCCUGGUUCGAGCCCAGGUCGAGGAG
rnacentral:tRNA from 1 species